GUGUAGCCCUGAUGGAAGCGACAUCCGCGACGCAGGAGGGAUAUAGCGAACAGCAGGAAUUACG
rnacentral:sRNA from 1 species